AAAAAAAAGCCCUAGCAACCGGUCUGAAAUUGCUGAAUUAAUUCAGAAUCAGCAUCAAAUACAUGGUUUUCUAGGUAUUGGAUACAUAUAAAUAAUGGAGUUUGAAUAAUAUACUCAACAGUUAGAUAGUUAAUUUACACUUGAUCUGCUUUUGGUUACCAUUGGAACAAAAAAGUUCAGAUUUGAUACAAACCAUUAUGUACCUUAUAAUAUCUGUUUUGCAGCCCUGUAAAUGGACUUCUUUCAACCAUAAUCAACAAAAAUCAUAUUUCUC
rnacentral:lncRNA from 1 species